AGUGUGUGUCCAUAAUUAAUUUUUUUUCCCAUUUUAUGUGCAGACAUAUUGCAGGCCAGAUUGACCCAAGACCCUGGACAGAGAAGACCGGCAGAAGUUUUGAUCACUUCCCUCAACAAACUUCUGGGAACUACUGUGGCAUCCUUAUACUCAUUUAUGCCCUCUGUAUCUGCACCAAUACCCCAUUUAUCUUCACAGAGGUCAGUUGCAUCUAUUAAUAUAGAAAAAAUAUUUCAAACCCCACCCCAAUUGUCUGAUCAUUGUUAUAUAUGUUUUAGAAUGAUGUGCCAUUAAUCCGCCAGUGGUGGUGCAUCCUACUGAUGGAAAGAUUUCAGAUUGAAGGACAUGGCCAGAGGUUUGCUUUCUGGACUGACAAGGCUAGCAGGCUAUUGCAAGGGACCCUUCAGCCACUUUUUAGGGUAUCUAGGUCAAUCACUUCAGACAUUCCACCUCAUGUGCAAACCAUGGUCAACCGCACAGCCCAAGAAAAGAAGCUGGUAGACUUUGCUGUACAAGA